rnacentral:tRNA from 2 species
GCGAGUGUAGUUCAAUGGUAGAACUUCAGCCUUCCAAGCUGACUAUGAGGGUUCGAUUCCCUUCACUCGCUCCA